rnacentral:rRNA from 1 species
AGUCAAUAGAUACCCUGGUAGUCCACGCCGUAAACGAUGUCGACUUGGAGGUUGUGCCCUUGAGGCGUGGCUUCCGGAGCUAAACGCGUUAAGUCGACCGCCUGGGGAGUACGGCCGCAAGGUUAAAACUCAAAUGAAUUGACGGGGGCCCGCACAAGCGGUGGAGCAUGUGGUUUAAUUCGAUGCAACGCGAAGAACCUUACCUACUCUUGACAUCCAGAGAACUUAGCAGAGAUGCUUUGGUGCCUUCGGGAACUCUGAGACAGGUGCUGCAUGGCUGUCGUCAGCUCGUGUUGUGAAAUGUUGGGUUAAGUCCCGCAACGAGCGCAACCCUUAUCCUUUGUUGCCAGCGGUUAGGCCGGGAACUCAAACGGAGACUGCCAGCGAUAAACCUGGAGGAAGGU